AUUUUAUGGAGGGUCAUG
rnacentral:sRNA from 1 species